UCUCGGCAUCAGGUGGACUUGUCUGUGGUGUGUACCCGGUGAAGAAGUGAAUAGUGCGCGAUGAGCUUAUAUAGAGAGGAAGGUCAGGUAGGAUAAUAAGCAUAGUAGAAUAACUCCAACUAUACUUUAUUUAUCUCUUUCCCUGAUCUCAGAAUUUUAUUUUUGUUUUACUGGGAAUAGUAAAAAGUACGUUGCCUCAAGCUCUCCUUCUUUACCUGGGCUUUCGGCCAGGAUGCGGAAAUAAAGGUGAUGAUAAUAGUAUAUUACCAUGUGUUAGGAAUUUAAGGGAAAACCGCCCUUAGGUUCAUCCUGGCAUCAACAUAAUAAUAAUAAUAUGGGGCAUAUUUCUUACUUAGCUCAAUUCGAUGAUUGAAGCCCAGAGUUCACAGGGCUAUAUAACUUUUUCGAAUUGAACUUUGAACAUUUCGGGAAAUAAUCUUCAGAUAUAUAAUACUAUCGAUUAAACAAAUUAAAAAUAAACGAAAUUCCUGAAAAGUCUAAUUGUAUAUUCCCCUUUAAGAAGUGGGUGAUAAUCAUUUGGAAGUAGGAUAGAGCAAUUCAUUGGAACAUAUGUGUAAAGAGAGAGUACUUACUAUGUAAUAUAUGUACUUCUUAUCUUCUUCAGUCUUUGUCCCGUUCAGAAGUGGGGUCGGCUCGUCUUGAUCGGUUCGCCGUCGGUUGUGCCAUUUUCAUCAUGGCGUGUUACUCCAUUAUUCCAACGUAACAUCUCCUUUACUACGAGACGCCGUUUAUUGGUAUUUAUAGUCGACCAACACUCAGAACCAUAGGGGGCGGCAGGGCGGACGACACUACGGUAAAUUUGAAACGUUCGUUGAUACGUCGCUCACAAAGAACGUCAGUUGUGAAACACCACUUGAUUCAGGUGACGCUGAUGCUUGAAGCAAUUUCAUAACGCAGUUUACCAUUGACUGAUAGCAUUGAUCUGAGAUAUUUGAAUCAGAUUACUGUCACUGACAGUGAUAAUGCCUAUUUCAUGGGAACCGGUCUACCAAAAAUCUGUCUUGCAUGAGGCAGUCAUUCCACUUUUGAACAAGUUGCUCGAGAUCAGCUUUCCUAUGCGACGUGCGGUGUCCAAAGCAAGAACAAAGGGGAGUGGUGAGAGGGUGCUUCCAUGGUGAAUAUCGUCGGAGACACGUUACGGCUGUGAUACAUCGACUACAGUACAUUUUUUUGUGUGGGACUAAGUAAUUCUCGGGUCGAAUUACUUGUGAACUCGUUAAUGGGUUUAAGAAAUUUUUAUAAACGAAAGCAUAAAAUUGGAAUAUAUGCUCGAUUGGAAUUCUAAUUUUGCGUUUUACUCGUCGCACGCCGCAGCAAGAAUCUAAGUCUCUAAUUAGAGUAUGGUGCCAUCCUAUCUGCGGCCCAGCCACUUCGUUUGACUCCUCAGACAUAGCAUCAUACAUGGCGCCUUCAUUUCAUUAUUAAUGCAUGGUGAUGCUGCCCAAAUAGACUACCAAAAUAGAAUCUGCUGAUCCGGACUACCUCGACGUUGAUGACAGGGAAUUCAAAGAGCAGAUCAAUCGAAUGUUCGAUGUUUCCUCCAAAAAAGAUGAGAAAUACGUCUCUCAACCACUGAUGCACAGAGAGGAACAAGCUCCACCGCACGUGCCCUUGCCAAAAGGCCGUUCGGACUUAAGAGAUCCCAAACCAUCGCCAAUUGAGGAAUAUCGCAAGCGGACAACAAGUAAUACUCCCGAGGAGAACAUAUUCAUCUCGCACAAGCUACGUCCGGGAGGAUGUCAGAAAAGUAGGAGAAAAGAGAACGUACAGAGCUGCACCGACUCAUCAGAAUCUCGUUUGGAGAACAACGGAAACUCUUCAGACAGCAAUUGUUCAACAUAAAAUAAUGGAUAACCAAUGUUCAAUCCAACAGCAAAACAGUAGAAAAGUACCAGCAGGCAAUAUCGACGAUAUACUUAGUAGCAAUAGCUACGUGCUACAUAUAUAAUAAGGAUAAUAUGAAAUGUGUGAAAACAAAAUUAAAUAGAAAUA
rnacentral:lncRNA from 1 species